GCGGGAGUGGUGAAAUUGGUAUACACGCCAGAUUUAGGUUCUGGUGCCGAGAGGCGUGAGGGUUCAAGUCCCUUCUCCCGUA
rnacentral:tRNA from 2 species